UGCGUAGGCGGGCUAAUAAGUCAGUGGUGAAAUCUUCCGGCUCAACCGGGAACCUGCCAUUGAUACUGUUAGUCUUGAGUUCGGUUGAGGUAGGCGAAAUGUGUAAUGUAGCGGUGAAAUGCUUAGAUAUUACACAGAACACCAAUUGCGUAGGCAGCUUACUAGACCGACACUGACGCUGAGGCACGAAAGCGUGGGGAGCGAACAGGAUUAGAUACCCUGGUAGUCC
rnacentral:rRNA from 1 species